rnacentral:tRNA from 1 species
GCCGGAGUAGCUCAGUGGUAGAGCAACGCAUUCGUAAUGCGUAGGCCAGGGGUUCGACUCCCCUCUCCGGCUCCA